AUUUUCUCUCUUUUUCAGAGCACUUAAGCUUAGCCACAGCAGUAUUUAAGUAAAGAGUUGUCUGAUAAACAAAAGCAGUUCCAACUCGCCAGGCUUCUCUCCGGCCUGCUAGCAACCAGCCUGCACUCCAGUCAGUUAGGCCCACGUUGUCCCUGCCUUUCCUGAGUUGGCUAGCCAGCCCACCUGUUCUUGAUUUGGCAACCUGAUGCUUGCCUUCCCUGAGGAGCCGCAGCCAUUGCCCUGCAAUACACCCUGAGACAAUGCUACUGCCCACUGACAUAGUUUUAAAAGCCUGCAUGCUGCUCUGAAAGUAAGGAGGCUGCUGUGGAGGCCAGGUCAGACCUCCCUGCAGGCCGGCUCCCUGGUUUCCCCUUUAGUUUGGCUUCUUUGGUUGGACUAUUGCUUUGUGUACAUGUUUGACCGCAAGGGUCGCUUUCUGGAUGUCCAUGUGGGCUUCCUUGACUGUGUGCACGAUGCCAGGUUCCCUUCCAUGUGCACCAGCCUCCAGGAUAGAAGGCUUGUGGGAAAUGCACACCAUUCCUGUGUGAAGCAUGCCAAGUGCCCCUCUGUGUUAUUCUGGACAGAGACUGUCACAAGUAUUUUCACAGCUAGGGUGGCCUGUGUAUAUGUAGUGGUGUCUUUCUGUUUAGUUCUGAUGAUGUACAUUAUUUUUUAUUUACACAAGACAUGGUCUUUGUUUUUUUUCACCAUUUAAUUGUUUAGUCAACAAUCCUCUCAAAAGCAAUAUGUUAUCUUUUUGAUUAUACAAAUUUAAAGGCACUCUUAUCACAGUCUUUUGCAUGUUCAGUUCCUAUAAUGUACAGUUUUAACCCCUCAAUUGUAUAGUGAGUAUAUAUGUAUAUAUAUUGAGUAUAGUGCAUAAUUGAAUAUAUAGAGUAUUGUAAUUGAAUAUUUGAUAAGGUCUUCUGUUUUUACCGCUUAAUUGUGUAAUCAACAUUGCUCUCAAAAGAAAUGUAUCAUCUGUUUCACUACACAGCUAAAAAGGCGUUAAUUGCACUGUUUAUAAAAAUGAAUGUAUCUUACAAACUAAUUUAUGUACAUAGUUCAGUGUUUUAUGGAGGUUUUUUACACUGACAAGUUUGAGGUUGGCAUUUGUUAUAUUUAUGUAUUUUAAAAAAAUGUGAACGAUUAGAAACGAUUAGAAUUUCUUUGGGUGUUUAUUGCAAUUUUCAGCUAUUUAUUGAUUUAUUAGUAAUUUAUUACAUACAUAGCUUUCAAAUUGGGGUUGUAAAACGCCUCUCAAUCUCAGCAUUGUGUAUCUUGUUCAUUUAAUCUGUACACAAACAGAAAUGUACAAAUAAAAAUUUGUAGUUUUACAAGAAGUAAAACCUACUAAAGCCAGGUGCAGUGACUUUCUGUACAUUUGUUUUCACUGUGAAGUUGCCAAUCCUAUGUUCUCUUACCAUUAAACAGCAUCACUCCU